AAAGAAACCAACAGGGAUUGCCUCAGUAACGGCGAGUGAAGCGGCAAGAGCUCAAAUUUGAAAGCUGGCUCCUUCGGGGUCCGCAUUGUAAUUUGCAGAGGAUGCUUCGGGCAUGGCCCCCGUCUAAGUGCCCUGGAAGGGGCCGUCAUAGAGGGUGAGAAUCCCGUCUGGGACGGGGUGUCCGUGUCCGUGUGAAGCUCCUUCGACGAGUCGAGUUGUUUGGGAAUGCAGCUCUAAAUGGGUGGUAAAUUUCAUCUAAAGCUAAAUACUGGCCGGAGACCGAUAGCGCACAAGUAGAGUGAUCGAAAGAUGAAAAGCACUUUGAAAAGAGAGUUAAACAGCACGUGAAAUUGUUGAAAGGGAAGCGUUUGCGACCAGACUCGCCCGCGGGGUUCAACCGGCAUUCGUGCCGGUGUACUUCCCCGUGGGCGGGCCAGCGUCGGUUUGGGCGGCCGGUCAAAGGCCUCCGGAAUGUAUCACCCUUCGGGGUUGUCUUAUAGCCGGGGGUGCAAUGCGGCCUGCCUGGACCGAGGAACGCGCUUCGGCUCGGACGCUGGCGUAAUGGUCGUAAAUGAC
rnacentral:rRNA from 1 species